CCUACGGGAGGCAGCAGUGAGGAAUAUUGGACAAUGGGCGCAAGCCUGAUCCAGCCAUGCCGCGUGCAGGAAGACGCAUCUAUGGUGUGUAAACUGCUUUUGUACGGGAAGAAACACUCCCUCGUGAGGGAGCUUGACGGUACCGUAAGAAUAAGGAUCGGCUAACUCCGUGCCAGCAGCCGCGGUAAUACGGAGGAUCCAAGCGUUAUCCGGAAUCAUUGGGUUUAAAGGGUCCGUAGGCGGUUUAAUAAGUCAGUGGUGAAAGCCCAUCGCUCAACGAUGGAACGGCCAUUGAUACUGUUAGACUUGAAUUACUAGGAAGUAACUAGAAUAUGUAGUGUAGCGGUGAAAUGCUUAGAUAUUACAUGGAAUACCAAUUGCGAAGGCAGGUUACUACUAGUGGAUUGACGCUGAUGGACGAAAGCGUGGGGAGCGAACAGGAUUAGAUACCCUGGUAGUCCACGCCGUAAACGAUGGAUACUAGCUGUUGGGCGCAAGUUCAGUGGCUAAGCGAAAGUGAUAAGUAUCCCACCUGGGGAGUACGUUCGCAAGAAUGAAACUCAAAGGAAUUGACGGNNGAGAGNGCGAGACGACGACGAGGGAGGAGG
rnacentral:rRNA from 1 species